rnacentral:tRNA from 1 species
UGGUGUAUUGUGUAAUGGUAGCACUACAGAUUUUGGUUCUGUCAGUAGAGGUUCGAAUCCUCUUACACCAA